rnacentral:rRNA from 1 species
GUGCCAGCCGCCGCGGUAAUACGGAAGGUCCGGGCGUUAUCCGGAUUUAUUGGGUUUAAAGGGAGCGCAGGCGGGCUGAUAAGCGUGCUGUGAAAUGUACCGGCUCAACCGGUGACCUGCAGCGCGAACUGUCGGUCUUGAGUGAGUACGAUGUAGGCGGAAUUCGUGGUGUAGCGGUGAAAUGCUUAGAUAUCACGAAGAACCCCGAUUGCGAAGGCAGCCUACAAGUCCUUUACUGACGCUAAAGCUCGAAGGUGCGGGUAUCGAACAGGAUUAGAUACCCUGGUAGUCCGCACGGUAAACGAUGGAUGCCCGCUGUCGGCGACAGACUGUCGGCGGCCAAGCGAAAGCGUUAAGCAUCCCACCUGGGGAGUACGCCGGCAACGGUGAAACUCAAAGGAAUUGACGGGGGCCCGCACAAGCGGAGGAACAUGUGGUUUAAUUCGAUGAUACGCGAGGAACCUUACCCGGGCUUGAACUGCAGCAGAACGAUUCAGAGAUGAUGAGGUCCUUCGGGACUGCUGUGGAGGUGCUGCAUGGUUGUCGUCAGCUCGUGCCGUGAGGUGUCGGCUUAAGUGCCAUAACGAGCGCAACCCCUGUCGCCAGUUGCCAUCAGGCGAUGCUGGGCACUCUGGUGAUACUGCCACCGUAAGGUGCGAGGAAGGUGGGGAUGACGUCAAAUCAGCACGGCCCUUACGUCCGGGGCUACACACGUGUUACAAUGGGUGGUACAGAGAGUCGGGCGCCGGCAACGUCGCCCCAAUCUACAAAGCCAUCCUCAGUUCGGAUUGGGGUCUGCAACCCGACCCCAUGAAGCUGGAUUCGCUAGUAAUCGCGCAUCAGCCAUGGCGCGGUGAAUACGUUCCCGGGCCUUGCACACACCGCCCGU